UACGGGGGGGGCAAGCGUUGUUCGGAAUUACUGGGCGUAAAGGGCUCGUAGGCGGCCAACUAAGUCAGACGUGAAAUCCCUCGGCUUAACCGGGGAACUGCGUCUGAUACUGGAUGGCUUGAGUUUGGGAGAGGGAUGCGGAAUUCCAGGUGUAGCGGUGAAAUGCGUAGAUAUCUGGAGGAACACCGGUGGCGAAGGCGGCAUCCUGGACCAACACUGACGCUGAGGAGCGAAAAGCCAGGGGAGCAAACGGGG
rnacentral:rRNA from 1 species